ACGCACGCUGGCGGCGUGCUUAACCCAUGCAGGUCGAACGGAAAGGCCCUGCUUUUGUGGGGUGCUCGAGUGGCGAACGGGUGAGUAACACGUGAGUAACCUGCCCUUGACUUUGGGAUAACUUCAGGAAACUGGGGCUAAUACCGGAUAGGAGCUCCUGCUGCAUGGUGGGGGUUGGAAAGUUUCGGCGGUUGGGGAUGGACUCGCGGCUUAUCAGCUUGUUGGUGGGGUAGUGGCUUACCAAGGCUUUGACGGGUAGCCGGCCUGAGAGGGUGACCGGCCACAUUGGGACUGAGAUACGGCCCAGACUCCUACGGGAGGCAGCAGUGGGGAAUAUUGCACAAUGGGCGGAAGCCUGAUGCAGCAACGCCGCGUGCGGGAUGACGGCCUUCGGGUUGUAAACCGCUUUCGCCUGUGACGAAGCGUGAGUGACGGUAAUGGGUAAAGAAGCACCGGCUAACUACGUG
rnacentral:rRNA from 1 species